UAAUAUAAAUUAUAUAAAAACAUGCACAUCCUAUUAUGAUUUUGGUCUCGCCUUCGACAAUAGUCGCGGAAAGUGAAACAUAAGGUCACCGUGUUACUUUUACGACGGCGACAGCAACAACGGCCACAUCAGUAUUUGCGUAAAUUAAAGUCUACUUUAAACAGUGUUAUUGCCAUCCAUUUGAAUCGAAACUUGGUGAGGUUACUGAUACUAUAAUAUUGGAUGAACACAACAAUUUGUCAUUGUUAUAAGAAUCAAAGUCGCUAUAUGGCAUACUGCAUACUGCACAUGUUCUUCCCUGUCUAACCCUUCAUUAUUGAAAAAAUAAGAUCAAUUCCAUGCUAUAGAAACAUUACAACUUGUUUCUUCUUAAACAAAAACAGUUUUAAUACAUUUCAGUGAGACAGAUGCAAGUGACCACAAUGAUUCCAGUGCAUUGGCCAUCACCAAGAAAAGAAAGAGCCUUCACUGGAAAAAGAAAGAAAGAAAAAAAAACAGGGUGCCCUGGACCAAAGCUGACACUGAAAUCCUUAAGCGCAUAUUUCAUCCAUGUAUUACAUCAAAUAAGCCUCCAACAAAAAAUGAUGUUUUAUUAGGGACAAGGAAAAACACUUAUAUGAAAACAAUGUUCGAAAAAAGAGGCUGGAAGUGUAUUAAGUAUUACGUUUGGAGCCUGACACAGCAGCAUCAGAAAAAAAAGAUGAAGCUUUUGCAAGCAUCUUCUUUGCGGAACUAAAUCUAUGUUAUGUUCGUCAAGAAAUGUUUUGAUUCCAAUAAUGAAGAGUGUGCCGUUUUUGGUGUUUUACUUUACUUUUAUUUACUUGUGACGACGAAAUGACUCGGUUGAAUUAAUUCCAUUUCUUGAAAGAACCUAGGAUAGAAUUAUCUACGUACAUUUGUUUUGCAUCCAAUGAUACACUGUAUAUGUACUUAUAUCAGCAAAUGUUAAUUGGUGCUCUGAAUGAGUUAGACAUUUAGUACAUACAAUUUUCUCCUCACAAAAUUUAAAUAAUUUUCUUGCGAAUUCCCUUUGAACAUUUAGCUUGAAUCCUUAUGUCUCCAUCACCGUCAGUCUUUGCCUUUGUGGCAAAAUCCUCCAAUGUUUAUUCUAAGGCUUCUUCUGUUUCUUAAUAAUAAUUCCAUUCACUCUCCAAAAUAACUCAUCUUAAUUUGAUCCAGGGAAAUACCUGUGUUUGACAUUUAAGUGGCAAUGCAAGAUAUACAAGCGAAUGUUUGUUACCACUAUUUUUCAUUAAAAAAGAUAAAAUUAGGACCUGUUUCAUUUGUAUGGAUGAUUUUAAAUAUAUAUAAUCAAUGUCAUCAAAGUCAUAUAUUGGAAUAAGAAAUCCUGACCUUUUACAUAGUACUAUGGAAGUAUUAGAGAACUCUCAAUGAUAACAAAUCUCAGAUAUAGUGCAGAGGAAAAUGUGAAAUGUUACAUUGUAUGUGUUUAUUUAAUGCAAUAUUGCAUUCAAUAUUAGUAUGAUGCCAUGUUAUUUUCAACUUACUACAUUUCAUGUUUAAGCCUAAGGCUAUUUGGAUAUUUAUACCCUUCGAUGCAAAACAAUGCAAUGUUUGAUAUCUUUUGAAGACUGAGAGAUUUGUUUUUUUGAAUUUCAGUUAUUGUUUAAUUUGGUAUUGAAGAUAAAAAAUGUUCACUGUUGAUUUGAUUGCGAUCUUUACAGCUAGUGCUAGCUAUCUAGUUGUUAUUAUUUGUUUUUGUGUGAAUAAAUCCAUUGUAUCAA